rnacentral:rRNA from 1 species
AGGACGAACGCUUGCGACGUGCCUAAGAAAUGCAAGUCGAACGGACAGCAGCAAUGUUGUUAGUGGCGAACGGUCGCGUAACACGUGGGCAACCUGCCCUGAAGCGGGGGACAACAAGCCGAAAGGUUUGCUAAUACCGCAUGUGGAUCGCCUCGGCAUCGAGGAUUAUCCAAAGCCCUAUAGUAAUAUACGGCACUUCAGGAUGGGCCCGCGGCCUAUCAGCUAGUUGGAGGGGUAACGGCCCACCAAGGCUUCGACGGGUAGCUGGUCUGAGAGGACGAUCAGCCGGAUUGGGACUGAGAUACGGCCCAGACUCCUACGGGGGGCAGCAAUUAGGAAUCUUGCACAAUGGGCGAAAGCCUGAUGCAGCGACGUCGCGUGGGGGACGAAAUCUUUCGGGAUGUAAACCCCUUUUGAGUGGGAAGAACAAAUGACGGUACACUCGAAUAAGCCCGGCUAACUACGUGCCAGCAGCCGCGGUAA